GCUGACUUCAUAGGCUAUGCGCUCCCCUUGGAACCGGAUGUCGAAAAUCCUCAUACCACUGAACAACUCCAGGCUAAAGAGCAUACAAGCAGACCUAUGGAAAAAGAUGUAAAUCAAGGAAACAGAAUCAGAACCACAUAUACAUUGACUACCAUGGAAGAAAUGGAGGCAGGGAGGGAAGGAAGAAAGAAAGGAAGAAAACAAAAGGCAGAAAAGAACUUAAGACAGAUUUGAGAGUACAAAAAGCAAACACAUUUCAUUUGGUGUUUAAUUUGCUUUUGUUUAUGGUUAUUAAAAUAAAAAACUAGAAUGAAAAACAGAAAAACAAAAAA